UUAAGAUGCUGCUAUCCUUUGAUUUUAUUAUAUCUACAAAAGAAUGGAAAACCAGUAAUCUAAUAUAUGAACUCUAUAUAUAGAUAUGUAUAUUAUAGCAAAUACUAUGAUGCUAUAAAUUGAUGUAAUAUAAGUGAUGGCAAUGUAAGGUCUGAAGUACAGUGUAAAAGGGGGAAUAGUGGACUCUAGGUGCUCAUAGACAGCAGCUCUGAGGUCAGCUCAGCAGCUUGCACAUUUAGUUGAAGGAGCCCUUAAACACUUGUCUUGGUUCAGAAUAUGAGCCCUUGAAGGUAUUGGUUUGUGAGGCUUAAACUGGCUUUAGGGAGCCAGGCUGUGAUUGUGAUCGGCUGCAGCAGACAAGGAAAGGGCUGGGCUGAGCAUAUUUUGGGCCAUUGGUCAGUUCUUCUGUAAUCUACCAUCUCAAAUACCAUUGCUCCAGCCUAUUUAUCUGUAGCUUUACUAGCGAUAUGUACGUAGCUCCACAGACCCAGAGGUGCUAACAGUCUGCCAGCUAACCGGCCUUCUCAGAGCCGUAUGGGUGUUAACUAGGAAAGCCAUUAGGAGUUAGCUUGUGCUUUACCCCCCCCACUAAAAAUUAGCCAGCCAGAGCAAUGCUAAAGCUGUUUCUCCUUCCAGCUAGCCUGUCAAUUGAUGCAUUUGAAGUCUAUUCUCCUCUUUUCUCAUUUCCCACCCGUGAUUAUCUGUAAUUACCCUUUUUGCUCUGGCCACUUUUCUCUUGCUUUCGAUCCAUCCCAUCUGUCUGCCCAUGCACUACUCUCACUUUCCCUCUCUUGUCUCUCUCUCUCUCUCUAUUAAAAGGUGCUUUAUUGAUAUGUAAUCAGAGCAGUAGCAAGUCUGUGGUCUCUCCUCAGACGGACAUGUUCUCUGAGGACUUGAACUAAUGUUCACUAACCAAACAAGCCUUUGACAGGGCACAACUCAUCAGAACAGGGCAUUCUAACACACAUAACAGCCCCCUCACCUCCCACCCACCCAAGUCCCCGAAACCCUUUUUAACCCCAACCCGAAGCAACAAAGCCAAGGUACAACCCAAUACAUGCCCUGAUAAUCCAAAGAAGUCACCCUGACCUGCGUAAAUAAUGUGUGACAUGUCCACGUUUGUCGGGUGGGGUGCAGGGGGUAAAAGGGAUUGGAUGGGAGACGGAGGUAAUGAUUAGCUCUGAUUGGCAGCCUGUAACGUACCUCAGGGAUAAGGCCUCACAGAGGGGAGAUCUAAUCUUGUCAUCCCUAUUGCUGUCAUCAUUUAUCAUUUUAGCCUCUUUUCUUCUUUUUUUCUCUCUUCCUUCCCUUUGUUCUCUCAUUUUUGAUGCUGUAUCUUGUGCUCUGUCUGUGCUGUGCCUUGCUCCUGUAUGUGUCAGUAAGUAAAGUGGUUUACUAGCUUAAAAAACCUUUGCCAAAGUUGGUGGGAAAGUAAAGGUAGAGUUCUUUUCUAGGUUUUAUUUAUACUAUAUAUUUGCAUACAGUACUUUACAUGCCAAUUACAGUGCAAUCUUCAUUUAUUUAUUGUUAAAAGAUUAAGAGACAAGUGUAGUUAUAUACUAAUUUUUUCUUGUAGCAUGUUUUUUUCUUUUCUUUUGUUUUAAUGGAUGUAUGUUAGAUUGUAUGAUUAAGGCCAGCAUUCCUUAUCUCAGUAACCCUUUAAGUAUUUUUCUUACAGCUGUUGGGAACCUGUAGCUCAUCAGUCCAUGAAUUGCAGUUAUCAUUGCCGUUUCAAACAUUUAACCAAAUUGCCUAUGUAUUUUUAUUUUAUUUUAUUUUAUUUUUUACAUUUCCUGUUUUGGCUGUGCACAGGCGAGCAGUUCUUAAAACGCUUAGAGAGACAUGUAGCAAGCCAGGACUUAUGGUCAAUUCAAGUCAUCUGUUUUGGGAUAAACGUUGCUGCCUUUGGCUUUUGUUCUGAUUAGUGUUAUAAUGAAGCUUCUGGUAUCUAUUUUUACUGUUUUAAUGCCAAAUUGCAAACUUUUUAUGUCCACUAGUUGUUGCGUUUUGAAUCGUCUAAAGGGUUCUGUGAUGUUCUUCUGCAACGACACAGCAUUACGACUAUUAUCAUUAUUCUUUCAAAAGGAACAAAAAAACAUUAACUUGAUCUGUGAUAUUUCUUCUUUUCAUAUUAUCUUUUAUUGUUUUGUUUUGUAAAGCAAAAUGUGCCAUUAUGAAAUGUGUAGCCCCUUUUGGUGGAGUUUUUUUCCGUGUUUUUUUUUUUUUUUUUUUACACAACCGUGAUUUCACACUGAAAAGUAAAGAAAGCAAAAACAAUCAUACGAUGGUUUCCGGCAGAUGAUGAAAAUAAUAAUAUUGAUUAAUCCUUUUUCAGGCUUGUGCUGGUAUGGCAGUAGUGAGCGUUUUGUGUCCGUACAUUGCUAAGAGAUGAUAUACAGAGAUAUCUAUAGAGCUAUAGAAGAAGAUGGUAAAUUCAUUAUGACUAACAGAGUUGAAGCACUUUUUAUGCCAAGCAUUAGGCUUGUUGAGGUAAAUAUGAGCGAUAGGAAACGCAAUCCUUUGCUCUAUUCCAAACUCUACUGCCAACACUGUCUGUUACUUUUAUUGGCAUUAUUCUGUUAUUGGCAUCACUGUGACAUUGGCAUUGCUGGGGCGCAGUUCUGCGCUCUCUGCAGAAUGCACCGUACAGCCACAAAGAAAGGAAAGUUUAUAGGGAGUAUGGUGCCUUUGUCUGAUGUGUUCAUUUUGUAUCUGCCUGUUGCAUUGUAAUUGACAGGUGACUUGUGAGGUGUCCUUUCCUUAAACUUCUGAUGUUAUGUUGCCCAACACUACCCCUUUUUAAGCCUUAAUUCCCCAGUGGAAGAGCAGAGGUUUGCUUUGUGUAUGGUCAUUGUCAGGCCAGUUAUGCUAGUGUUAAAUAGUCCAAGGUUAGCACAGUGUUAACAAAAAGGCAUUGUGUUUGUGGGCAGGGUACUCCCUUGGUGUGCAUUGUUGGGGUUUUUUUGCAUUUUUUUCCCCCAAAUACAGGUGAUUUUAUAGAACCCCACCCUCCCUACUCACCACCCUGCAGGUCCUGUACAUUUGGCGGGUAUGUCAAGAGUGAGAGACAAUGUUUUGCCCAGCAACCCCACGUCUGUGCCUUCUGAUCAGUUUUUUUUCUUUCUUUUUUUUUUAAAUGUUUUGUACAUGUAGAGAUUUUGACUGAGAGAUUGGCGAUUUGACAAACAUACAGAGACUCACAGGUAUUUAACUAUUUUUUAAGUAAGACAAAAACAGAAACAUAUUUUUACCUCACAAUUCAAAAAUAAACAUUCCAACGUUGUCAUGGUCUACGAAUUGAGGAAAAAAAGAAAUUCAUGCAUUUCUUCUUGUAUUGUAAAUGUUAGACAAUUUCAUAUGCAUUAUAUAAAAGAAACUGCCAUAUCAAUUUUAAUGUAUAGAUUUUUGCAAAUACUACCCUAUGUAUGUAAGACGUAACUGUAUCGGUAGCGUAUAUAUAAUAUAUUUAUGCCCAAUAAAUGUUUUAAUUUUUUUCUGUC
ensembl:lncRNA